rnacentral:rRNA from 1 species
AUUGAACGCUGGCGGAAUGCUUUACACAUGCAAGUCGAGCGGCAGCGCGGCCUUCGGGCUGGCGGCGAGCGGCGAACGGGUGAGUAAUGCAUCGGAACAUGCCCAGUCGUGGGGGAUAACACUUCGAAAGAAGUGCUAAUACCGCAUACGUCCUGAGGGGGAAAGCGGGGGAUCGCAAGACCUCGCGCGAUUGGAGUGGCCGAUGUCAGAUUAGCUAGUUGGUGGGGUAAAGGCCUACCAAGGCGACGAUCUGUAGCUGGUCUGAGAGGAUGAUCAGCCACACUGGGACUGAGACACGGCCCAGACUCCUACGGGAGGCAGCAGUGGGGAAUUUUGGACAAUGGGGGCAACCCUGAUCCAGCCAUUCCGCGUGAGUGAAGAAGGCCUUCGGGUUGUAAAGCUCUCUCGGCAGGAACGAAACGGUGGGCUCUAACAUAGUCCGCUAAUGACGGUACCUGAAGAAGAAGCACCGGCUAACUACGUG